rnacentral:rRNA from 1 species
CGGACGGGUGAGUAAUGCUUGGGAAUCUGGCUUAUGGAGGGGGAUAACUACGGGAAACUGUAGCUAAUACCGCGUAAUAUCUUCGGAUUAAAGGGUGGGACUUUCGGGCCACCUGCCAUAAGAUGAGCCCAAGUGGGAUUAGGUAGUUGGUGGGGUAAAGGCCUACCAAGCCGACGAUCUCUAGCUGGUCUGAGAGGAUGACCAGCCACACUGGAACUGAGACACGGUCCAGACUCCUACGGGAGGCAGCAGUGGGGAAUAUUGCACAAUGGGGGGAACCCUGAUGCAGCCAUGCCGCGUGAAUGAAGAAGGCCUUCGGGUUGUAAAGUUCUUUCGGUGAUGAGGAAGGUGUUUGUUUUAAUAGAGCAAGCAAUUGACGUUAGUCACAGAAGAAGCACCGGCUAACUCCGUGCCAGCAGCCGCGGUAAUACGGAGGGUGCGAGCGUUAAUCGGAAUGACUGGGCGUAAAGGGCACGCAGGCGGUGACUUAAGUGAGAUGUGAAAGCCCCGAGCUUAACUUGGGAAUUGCAUUUCAUACUGGGUCGCUAGAGUACUUUAGGGAGGGGUAGAAUUCCACGUGUAGCGGUGAAAUGCGUAGAGAUGUGGAGGAAUACCGAAGGCGAAGGCAGCCCCUUGGGAAUGUACUGACGCUCAUGUGCGAAAGCGUGGGGAGCAAACAGGAUUAGAUACCCUGGUAGUCCACGCUGUAAACGCUGUCGAUUUGGGGAUUGGGCUUUAAGCUUGGUGCCCGUAGCUAACGUGAUAAAU